UACGGAGGGUGCAAGCGUUGUUCGGAAUUAUUGGGCGUAAAGCGCGUGUAGGCGGCUAUGAAAGUCUGGUGUGAAAGCCCGGGGCUUAACCCCGGAAGUGCACUGGAUACUACAUAGCUAGAGGGUCAGAGAGGAAAGCGGAAUUCUUGGUGUAGGGGUGAAAUCCGUAGAUAUCAAGAGGAACACCGAUGGCGAAGGCAGCUUUCUGGCUGACAUCUGACGCUGAGACGCGAAAGCGUGGGUAGCAAACAGGAUUAGAUACCCUGGUAGUCCACGCCCUAAACGAUGGAUACUAGAUGUUGGAGUUCCUAAUAGCUUCAGUAUCGUAGCUAACGCGUUAAGUAUCCCGCCUGGGAAGUACGGUCGCAAGAUUAAA
rnacentral:rRNA from 1 species